ensembl:ncRNA F16D3.8 ncRNA
UGAGUGCGCGCGCAGGUUCUCACACAACUGCGCGCCCUAGAAGGACAGCGUUGAAGCUGAAGGAAGCAGAAGGAGUAGAAGAAAGAGAAGAAGAAGGACUUGUGAGAAAACGGAAGAAGUAGGUGAAGAAGUAGAAGAAGUUG